AGUAACGCGUGAGCAACCUGCCUAUGACAGUGGGAUAGCCUCGGGAAACCGGGAUUAAUACCGCAUAAAAUCGUAGAAACACAUGUUUUAACGGUCAAAGAUUUAUCGGUCAUAGAUGGGCUCGCGUCUGAUUAGCUAGUUGGUGAGAUAACAGCCCACCAAGGCGACGAUCAGUAGCCGGUCUGAGAGGAUGAACAGCCACAUUGGAACUGAGACACGGUCCAA
rnacentral:rRNA from 1 species